UACGAAGGGGGCUAGCGUUGCUCGGAAUUACUGGGCGUAAAGCGUGCGCAGGCGGUUGUGCAAGACAGAUGUGAAAUCCCCGGGCUUAACCUGGGAACUGCAUUUGUGACUGCACGGCUAGAGUACGGUAGAGGGGGAUGGAAUUCCGCGUGUAGCAGUGAAAUGCGUAGAUAUGCGGAGGAACACCGAUGGCGAAGGCAGUCCCCUGGACCUGUACUGACGCUCAUGCACGAAAGCGUGGGGAGCAAACAGG
rnacentral:rRNA from 1 species